rnacentral:misc_RNA from 1 species
GUAGCAUCCGUCAAUGACAUUGCACCACGAGACGCUCAUGCCCCCCGCGAACGAGGAGCAGGGCCGACUCGGAGGCAAGCGUCAUUCAAGGCAGCCGAAAAUCGAGGGACACAAUGGGGCAUCACAACCCACGUUCACCGCAUGGACUGCACCCGAGAGAACGGUACAUGCCCGUGCACCGCAGAAGUCAUGACAACGCAAUGACUAACGAGGAGCACGUGCAUUACCUUGAAAUCCUCCGGCAACCCCGCAAGGGAAGCCCGGAUGGAAGGAGAAUUACGAGCCACGCGAAUACCAUUUCACAGGUAGUCAGCACAGGAACCGCGAACGAACACCAGAGCC